UCUUUAUAAUUAUUAAUAAUUAUGAUAUUAUUAAUAAUUAUUUAAUUGGGGUGAUUUAAAAAUUAAAAUAACUUUUUAUUUUAUUAAACAAAAAUUUUUGAUUAAUUGAUCCUAUAUUAUAGAUUAUUAGAAUAAGU
rnacentral:rRNA from 1 species